AUUGAACGCUGGCGGAAUGCUUUACACAUGCAAGUCGAGCGGCAGCGCGGGGCAACCUGGCGGCGAGCGGCGAACGGGUGAGUAAUACAUCGGAACGUGCCCAGACGUGGGGGAUAACUACUCGAAAGAGUGGCUAAUACCGCAUACGAUCUAAGGAUGAAAGCGGGGGAUCGCAAGACCUCGCGCGUUUGGAGCGGCCGAUGGCAGAUUAGGUAGUUGGUGGGGUAAAGGCUUACCAAGCCCGCGAUCUGUAGCUGGUCUGAGAGGAUGAUCAGCCACACUGGGACUGAGACACGGCCCAGACUCCUACGGGAGGCAGCAGUGGGGAAUUUUGGACAAUGGGCGAAAGCCUGAUCCAGCCAUUCCGCGUGCAGGAUGAAGGCCCUCGGGUUGUAAACUGCUUUUGUACAGAACGAAAAAGACUCUUUCUAAUACAGAGAGUCCAUGACGGUACUGUAAGAAUAAGCACCGGCUAACUACGUAGCCAGCAGCCGCGGUAA
rnacentral:rRNA from 1 species